rnacentral:rRNA from 1 species
AACGCUGGCGGCAGGCUUAACACAUGCAAGUCGAACGAGAAGCUUACUUCGGUAAGUGGAAAGUGGCAGACGGGUGAGUAACGCGUGGCAACCUACCUUUUUCUACGGAACAACAGUUGGAAACGACUGCUAAUACCGUAUACGCCCUCCGGGGGAAAGAUUUAUCGGUGAAAGAUGGGGCCGCGUUAGAUUAGCUAGUUGGUGAGGUAAUGGCUCACCAAGGCGACGAUCUAUAGCUGGUCUGAGAGGAUGAUCAGCCACACUGGGACUGAGACACGGCCCAGACAACUACGGUUGGCAGCAGUGGGGAAUAUUGGACAAUGGGGGCAACCCUGAUCCAGCCAUGCCGCGUGAAUGAUGAAGGCCUUAGGGUUGUAAAAUUCUUUCGCUAGGGAUGAUAAUGACAGUACCUAGUAAA